rnacentral:rRNA from 1 species
AGAGUUUGAUCAUGGCUCAGAUUGAACGCUGGCGGCAGGCCUAACACAUGCAAGUCGAGCGAGAAAGGUUUUCGGACUGAGUACAGCGGCGGACGGGUGAGUAACGCGUAGGAAUCUACCCAGUAGUGGGGGACAACUUAGGGAAACUUAAGCUAAUACCGCAUACGCCCUAUGGGGGAAAGCGGGGGAUCUUCGGACCUCGCGCUAUUGGAAGAGCUUGCGUUAGAUUAGCUAGUUGGUGGGGUAAAGGCUCACCAAGGCGACGAUCUAUAGCUGGUCUGAGAGGAUGAUCAGCCACACUGGGACUGAGACACGGCCCAGACUCCUACGGGAGGCAGCAGUGGGGAAUAUUGCGCAAUGGGCGAAAGCCUGACGCAGCCAUGCCGCGUGUGUGAAGAAGGCCUUAGGGUUGUAAAGCACUUUCAAUUGGGAGGAAGGAUUUAGCGUUAAUAGCGUUAAAUUUUGACGUUACCUUUAGAAGAAGCACCGGCUAACUCCGUGCCAGCAGCCGCGGUAAUACGGAGGGUGCGAGCGUUAAUCGGAAUUACUGGGCGUAAAGCGCGCGUAGGCGGUUUGUUAAGUCGGAUGUGAAAUCCCCGGGCUCAACCUGGGAACUGCACCCGAUACUGAUCGACUUGAGUGCGAGAGAGGGAGGUAGAAUUCCAUGUGUAGCGGUGAAAUGCGUAGAUAUAUGGAGGAAUACCGGUGGCGAAGGCGGCCUCCUGGCUCGACACUGACGCUGAGGUGCGAAAGCGUGGGUAGCAAACAGGAUUAGAUACCCUGGUAGUCCACGCCGUAAACGAUGUCUACUAGCCGUUGGGAGACUUGAUCUCUUAGUGGCGCAGCUAACGCAAUAAGUAGACCGCCUGGGGAGUACGGCCGCAAGGUUAAAAC